GCACUCGUGGCGGAAUCGGCAGACGCGCAAGCUUGAGGUGCUUGUGGGGUUACCCGUGGGAGUUCGAGUCUCCCCGAGUGCA
rnacentral:tRNA from 2 species